rnacentral:rRNA from 1 species
UACGUAGGGACCAAGCGUUGUUCGGAUUUACUGGGCGUAAAGGGCGCGUAGGCGGCAAUUCAAGUCAUCUGUGAAAUCUCCGAGCUUAACUCGGAACGGUCAGAUGAUACUGCUUUGCUAGAGUGCGGAAGGGGCAAUCGGAAUUCUUGGUGUAGCGGUGAAAUGCGUAGAUAUCGGGAGGAACACCUGAGGCGAAGGCGGGCUACUGGGCCGAUACUGACGCUGAUGCGCGAAAGCCAGGGGAGCGAACGGG